UACGGGGGGAGCAAGCGUUGUUCGGAUUUACUGGGCGUAAAGGGCGCGUAGGCGGCCACCGCAAGUCAAUUGUGAAAUCUCCGGGCUUAACUCGGAAAGGUCAACUGAUACUGCGGGGCUAGAGUGCGGAAGGGGCAACUGGAAUUCUCGGUGUAGCGGUGAAAUGCGUAGAUAUCGAGAGGAACACCUGCGGCGAAGGCGGGUAGCUGGGCCGACACUGACGCUGAGGCGCGAAAGCCAGGGGAGCGAACGGG
rnacentral:rRNA from 1 species